GCCGGCCUAGCUCAAUUGGUAGAGCAACUGACUUGUAAAUCAGUAGGUUGGGGGUUCAAGUCCUCUGGCCGGCACCA
rnacentral:tRNA from 1 species